rnacentral:lncRNA from 1 species
AUGAAGCUUGAGCCUCCUUUGACAAUGUCUUCCAUCAAAGAUGACCGAAAAUUAUGGAACACGGGGUCUGACUUAAAGACGAUUCAUGAACGGAUGGAAUUGCUGAUGCAACCCCCGAAUGGAACUCUAGACGAUACUUUCAGCUCAGAUACAGACUCUAUUGACUCUACGAAACGGGAUAAAUUAAAGCGUCAACCUGUUUCCCCAGAAAUCUUAGACUGUCUAGAAAGAGAGCCUUACUUCGGGUCAACUUCCAGUGGUCGUCGGUCCGUAGGCAGCGAUCUUGAUUCAAUAGGAAGUAGGAAUGGUCUGGCUAUGGAUGAUAAUGAAAGUAUAGACUUCGAUAUGUAUUUAUCUGACUUACAAGUCAAUCAUCCACUUGAGCCUGAAAACUCUGCCACUGAGUUUAAUAACGAUUUUUACCAAAAUUACCUGAAGAAAUCAUCAGGGCUACUUCCGAUGAAACAGUUCGCGCAUCCUCCUGCAGCAAAGCCGAUGUAUAACGACGAACAAUAUGAGCCUCAACCGUGUAAUAGUGAGCAAGAUCACAAAGCAUCAGAAAAUGAAGAGAUCCACUAUGAAAAUGUGCAAAACUUACAUGCUCAACCCAUGAGCGAACCUUGCGAAGAUGGUCCUCGACCCAACAGUCAAAUGUCAGAUGGUACUGCCAGAUGUGAGCUGCCGCCGAAGCGUAAACCGAUGAUUGAGGUGCCACAAUUGCCACAUCUUCCUGGUGGCACCCCGUCAGCCCAAGACUUAUUUAAUGCUCAAAUUGGUGCCCCAUACUAUUAUUCAGAUCUGUUGAAAGUGGAGAUAGAUAAUUAUAAUGCAGAAAACAAGAAUAUCAAUAUACGUCCAGAUGGCACUCUGCAACCUCUAAAUAACCAAAGAGACAGUCCGAUGGAAGGACUUUGCCUAAGCAAGAGAAACGACAUCGGACGAAAGGUAAAUCAAAUUCGUCAGUUUGCCCGACCCAUUGAUGGCUUAUCAGAGACGGAUGCAGCAAAACUCGCUGCUGAGCUUAAAAAUACAUCAACACAAUUCUUCGUCCCUGAAAAGUGCCAACAAUUUGACCAAAGAAACCUGUAUGAUCCUGACACUUUGCAACGUCGAAAGUCAGCUGCCAUGUUGGCUCAGAAGAGGCGAUCUCAAACACCUGAACCCUUAGGGAACACACGGAACUUGUACCCUCACGGAUUGCGAGAUAAAUCAGUAGGGUUUGAAAGCGAAUCAACACGGCGGCUGAGUCGAUCUUUAGAGGGGCUACUCGAUGACAACGAUCUGUACUCACCAGGAGAAACUAGAAAUAACAGGACUAUGUCACCGGGCAAUGCUAUUUCACGGUUACUUCAAACAACCCAGCCUCAAAAUACAACUCCAAGACUCCAAAAUAACGUUCAAAAUAUGGCGGCGUGUUUCCGAGGCUCAUCUAGAGUCCCUCCGCCUCCGCCUGAUGUUUGGGAAGAAGACGCCCUCUGGCGAGAAAAUUUGAGGAGAGUCAGCUUAAGACAAACACAGUCGCUCGAUGACCUCGACCAGACCCCCGAAAGACCUCAGCAGCAAUCCGGGCGUCAAAGCGUCGACAUUCUGAGCUCAACAAACCGUUUUGAAGAGAUGCCAUCUUGCAAUAUCGCAAAGCCACAGGUUCCGCGGAAUCCAGCUCGGGUCGAUCAAGAAAUAGAUGACGGGGUCCAUUAUGAGCGGCUGGUUCGCGACUCCAAGACAGAGACGAUGAACAACUUCGAGUACUGUCGUAAAGACAAGAAUCUGAUCCCCGGCAGGCAACAAGUACGCAAUGGUCCGCAGUCUUUUUUAGAGGAAGGUCUGUACCCUACCCGGCCACCUUCGUUCGAGAUCGACCGAGAGAAGCUCCGCCAGUGGGACCUGAUGUCGAGUGCCCCGGCGGGAAUGCUCGGAGCUUCAGACGGAGUGCCAGCUCUAGGUCUGGGCCUCGGCCUGGGACCGAACACGGGAAUGGGAAUGGGGUUGCGGGCCCUCAAGCCCACACCAGGAGCAGUCUCAGAGGAGUCUCAAAUUCCUGCAGCUCAAGUUCCGGGAACGCAAACCCUCGUCAGAACCGAGGCUUUCUCUCCUCCAAGCUCUCAAGCGUCCGAGUCCGGAUCUAUGAUUGGGCGCGAUCCUCUGCCUCCCCGACUGGCGGGGCCCAACCAACCCGUCAUGGGGUCGCCUCCCCCGAGAAGCUCCCGGGAAACUGUAACCACCUCCUCUCCAGCUCCCCGCACCAUCGGAGCAACUACCCAAAACCAGCGUCUCUCCCCUCAACCCCAUCCCCCACAGCCCCCUCAACACCCUUAACACCAUGAACAACGUUCACAGGCCCUGCGUCGACCCGGUACAGCAGAAGAGGGCACGCUAUGCAGAAUUAGAUGCACCAAAGAGGCUUGAGCAUCUUCAAAAAUUAGAAGACCUGAAACGGCACUUGCUGGAACUAGAGAAGCAGGUAAGUUGCGUUCACUCAGAAAUCGGUAUGAUAGAAUCCAAUUUUCUUCCAAUAAGUACAUUGGCGUCGAUUAAAGAACUCAUUUGAAACGGAUGAAACUUUUUUAAAAAUGAAGGUGUUUCUGAUCAAACGGACCUAUGUGCACUAUGACGUGAACCCUGUUAUGCAUAUAUUCUUAUGGGUCUCAGGGCUCAUGCCUUAAUGCACAUAGGUCCGUUUGGUAUAAAUACGUCCAAAUGCAGAAGUAAAUUAUGUGAUUUAUUGUUUGCAACAGAUCUUGAUACACUUCCAUUUUAAAUCAUG